CGGGAUUGGUUGCCGCCUUCACCGCCGUAGGAGGGCCGGGCGGAGACGCCUCACCCAGAGAAUUUUUCAGGUUCCAGCAGUGGCCUUCAGUCUGCAAGCUGCCUAAAGAAGUGCCUCCUUAUUGCCAGUGAUGUUGGAAAUGCCUUUGAAAAUACUGAAAGCUCAGAGCCAAAUUGAAUGUGAAUUGAAACCACUCUCCUGGUUUUCUGGGGAUGGUAAGAAAGCAAUGCAGCCAUCAAUCAACAUAUCAACCAGUCAACCAACAAGUAUAUUUGAAUAAGAAUCCUGGGCUGUAUGUAUUAUCCUGAGGGAUAAUGUGCUGCUUAUGAUUGUAUAUGUGUGUAGACCAGGUCAUGAUACAGAACUUAUUUCUUACUUUGGGUUAUGGUCAAAGAAGUUAGAAAAUAUUUGUCUAGAUGUAGAGACAAGGUAUAUAUUCAUGUAAUGGGAACUUUCCUAGGUCUCAACCUUUUAUAAGUAACUGGUUACAUCAGCAAUGCCAAAUGAAAGUGCACUGGGGCUUAGUCUGUUGACACAGAAUCUUGGAUUCAAAACCCUGGUGAAGCUCAACUGCUCUUCCUGACCUUGGAUUUCCCUAAUAAAGUUCCCUUCUUCAAGCA
rnacentral:lncRNA from 1 species